UUCGUGAAACGCAGAAGGUGAAAAGCUACAAGAAGAUAUGUGUUUAAAGCAAAUAAUAUGCUUAUGGAAUUAUGAAAAUACAUUAUUUAUUUAUGUUCAAAUUCAAAGAUUAAUUCUUUGUUAAAAAAAACUUCGAAAUUACUAAAACAAUAUGACAUUAUGAUAUCUUUAUCCAUAAAAAAAGCUGGAGUGAAGUUAUUUUUAUUCAUUUGCAUAAGCAACGUGAAUGAAAUUGUAAUUUCAUCAGCUGAUCCGAAAAUGGAAAUUAAACUUAAUGUUACAGAGCCUUUUAUUGACAUUAAAGUAAACUCAACGAUCGUUAUAAAGUGUGAAGGACCGCAAUAUCUGUCAUGGGGUUAUAUUGAUCCAAUGUCUGAUGAUAAAGAGUAUGAAAAUAUUAGUGCUCCAGCCACAUGGAACAGCAAUGCAGUUGAAGAUGGCUACGAGAGCAUUAUUAGUUUACAUUUUACUUCUUUUUAUGAUACUGGGAGAUAUGUAUGUUACCAUGAAAAUGACAGAGCUUCCAUUUACAUUUUUGUUGAUGAUAAUUCUCAUCUUUUGAUACCACUGUAUGAGGAAUAUUUUCACAUUAUGACACUUCAUCAAGGUGUAUCAGCGACAAUACCAUGUCUUCCCACAGUUUCAAACACCAAAGUCAGUCUUUGGAAGCUAAAAGAUCUUGUUCCAACCAAUAAAAAUUUAAAGUACGAUCCGACGGUCGGAUUUGUUUUAAAGAAUCCUAGCAACUAUUUCCAAGGAAGUUUUCAUUGCAGUGCAGAAUAUGAAGACCGUUCUGCUAUGUUUAGCUUAGAAAUAGAUAUAUUGCCUGAAACUCAUUCUGUUCCUGAAAUUGAAAUUGAUGAUAGUAAUGCAAAAUAUGUAUUAGUAAAUUCAAAUUUUAGCCUGAAAUGUAAUGUAAAAGUCGACUUGGGUACUACUUUGGUUGAAAUGAAGUGGAUUUAUCCAGUAAAAGAUCCUGAACGAAUAAUUCUCAGCAAUAUUACCCAUACAAGAAAUAUGAGAGACAGAUUUACAACUGAGACUUUAACAGUAAUCAAUGUAGAGAAAGCAGAUGAAGGAACUUAUCAAUGUAAUGUAACGGAUCAUUCGGGAAAAACAAACUAUCAUGAAGUUAAUAUCUCUGUUUUUGAACUUCCAAAACAAUCCACUGUCAAUUUUAGCGUUGGAGUAAAUACCGUAAUUAAGAGAGUUGGAGAAAAUGUGCAAUUGAGAGCAAAUUACAAUGUUUUUCCAUACACAAAAGACAUUCGAAUUUUGUGGACAAAAAAAGGUCAACAGCUACCUUUAGUUAUUGGAAAAUACAUAACCAAGUCUACGGAUUUUGAAUUUGUUCUAGAAGUAUUCAACCUCACUAAACAUGAUUCAGAUGAUUAUAUGGUAACAGCAUAUGCUCCAGGAGGUUCUAGCAACAAAAUAUUUCAUUUAUUAGUUAAAGAUAAACCAUCUGUUAAAAUCCACAAUAUCACUUCCAACUGUUUUAUGCCUGGUCAAAAAAAGCAAUUUCUGUGCCAUGCUGAUGCAUAUCCUCCUCCAGAUGACAUUUUCUGGAGUUGGAAUCCAUUCAGCUUCGAAGACAAAUGGAACAAUUGGACGCAUCUUGAUGAUGACAAUUCGUUGGUUAAUAAUGAUUAUGUUUGGAUGAUGAAUGAGGAUGAUAAAGCUGCUUCGUCGCUGUUUGUUACAGCUCAUAAAUCGGGAUAUUAUAGGUGCAACGGAAAGAAUGAAAUAGGAGAUGCUUAUGAUCAAAUGCUAUUCAUUGUAACAGAUGUGAAUGACUGCUUUGAUUUGCAUGUUAGCGAAGAAUCACCUUUAGAAAUGGAUUCGUUUUCCCUGACUUGUGCAGCAAGCUCUGAUCUAUUUGAAAUGUUAACACUGACAUGGAUAUCAUUUAAUUAUAAUCAAUCUAGAGUUAUAUCAAAAGAAGAAUUAAAUAUCUUCAAUACCUCCAAUUCUAUUUCAAUAGAAUUGCAGAUUGAUUUUAUUACAAAAAAUGAAACUGGAGAAUAUAAAUGCACCGGCUAUAAGAGAUUGCAUAAUGAUACUGAAGAAAGAUCUGCUCUAGUAUUUGUUCGAGAAAUAAAGAGACCUUCAUUUGUUAACUCUAAUUGGAGUUCCGAGGAGCUUCUAUUAGCAUCAAAUUCAUUUCUGGAAUUGGAAUGUCAUGUUGAUGGUACUCCUUUUCCUACAGUUGUUUGGUACAGAGAUGGAAGUAUUAUAGAUGCUAAUAUUACCGGAGGGAAAUUCGAGGACCAGUUUCAGAAACUCAUUAUCUCACGUCUGGUUAAAGAAGACAGUGGAUUCUAUCAAUGUAAAGCGCAAAAUGUCGCUGGAACUGUUACUAAAAAUAUUUCCCUCUCGGUACUUUCAGAAGAUGGAAUUUUGCAAGUAUUUGAGCAGAGAGGAAAUUAUGAGUCCGCAAAGAAUUCGAUAAUCAUGUUAGCAGGAGUGGCUGCUGCUUUAAUUAUAGUAUUUAUUUUAAUUUUCGGAAGAUGGUUUUAUAGAAAAAAGUAUACAAUGCGAAAACUUCAAGGAUUUGAUCAUCAAUUAUUCAGAGAAGGUCGAUUGAGUUAUUAUGAUCCCAAUGUAGCGUUAGAUGACCAAGCUGACCUUUUACCAUAUGAUGAAAAUUGGGAAUUUCCGAAAGAUAAUCUCAAACUUGGUCGCACUCUUGGUCAAGGAGCUUUCGGAAGAGUUGUCAAAGCGGAAGCAUUUGGUUUGAAUGACUACGAAGUUUCAACAACGGUUGCUGUUAAAAUGUUGAAAAAGCAAGCUGAUUUGAAUCAGCAAAAAGCGUUGAUAGCUGAGUUAAAGAUUCUUAUUCAUUUGGGUCACCAUAUUAAUAUUGUUAAUUUAAUGGGAGCAGUGACAAGAAAUAUUCCACAAGGAGAACUUUUGGUAAUGGUGGAAUACUGUCGCUAUGGAAAUAUUCGUGAAUUUCUUCUGAGAUAUCGGGAUAACUUUGUAAAUGAUACGGAAUCAGGGUUUAAAGAAAUAUUUCGUACUCCGGAAGUUUCACGCAUGGAUAGCUUAAAGUCUUUUCGGGUAAAAGGUGAAUCAAUCACAUCUUCACAAGGUUCUACGUCAACUGGAAUGGCCUUAGACAAUCCAAGUUAUAGGGAACAACUUCAAAACGUAGAAGCAAAACCAUCUACAACGAUAUCAACUACAGGUCGUUCAAUGAGUUGUUCAUCUGAAUCUAGCAGCGUUUUUAGAAAUUAUCAUCGAGUUGACAGCCAUGAACAUGUAAUUUAUACAUCUGAUUUGAUUUGUUAUGCAUUUCAGUGCGCGUGUGGCAUGGAUUAUUUAUCAUCGAAAAAGAGACUUGGCAGCAAGAAAUGUUCUCUUGGCAGAUGAUAAGGUGGUGAAAAUAUGUGACUUUGGAUUGGCUAAAGAUUGUUACAAAUAUGAAAAUUAUGUAAAACAAGGCGACGGUCCACUUCCAAUCAAAUGGAUGGCUAUAGAAUCAAUACGAGAUCAUGUAUUUACAACAAAGAGUGACGU
rnacentral:misc_RNA from 1 species